rnacentral:lncRNA from 1 species
GGAAAGCUUGUUACUCGAUCCCCUGCUUUGCAUCUUUUUUUUCUUUUUAUCUCUCUUUAAAUCUUGUGCCCUUUUCUUUCUCUUUUCCGUAUCGAUGGAUUAAAAAAGAGUUGAUUUUUAACUUUUUUGGGCGAUCGUUUUAAGAGGGUUUCUGUAAAGAUUUUGUAAAUGAGAUCUAUUGUUUGAUUUGAUGGAGGUUUUAUGUUGGAUUUUGAUAACUGAUAAAAAGUGAGAGCUUUGUUGUGUUGUGUUGUGUUCGGAGGAGAGUUAGUUUUUUCUGGUCACUGGAUUCCAGUGCCACUUCCUCAAAAUAACGAACAUCUAUCUAAUUUUCACUUUUUUUAUUACCAAAUAAGAAAAAUAAAUAAUAUAAUUUUUUUUAUGUUGUAAAUAAUGUUAAAACAUAAACUAAAAGAGAUUUAAUUUAUUAAUAAUCCUUUUAAUGAGAUUCAGCUAUGAUUUGAUGAAAAUUUAAAAAAAAAAUUGAUUUGUUUUGUAUUUAAUUAUUCACAAGGACUACAUUUAUAAUAAUAAUAAUAAUAAUAAUAAUAAUCUUUAAGUUGUAACGUUACUGGAUUUAUUUUAGAAAAUUAAAAAAAAAAUGUGAGCGGGAUCUUUAGAUGGUUUGCCAACAAACCAUACCUUGAUUGCUCUAAUUGAAAAUAAUAAUUACCAAUAAGAAACAAAUGGAAAUAAGUAACCUACCAUCCAAUUCAAAAAUUUUAAAAAAAAAGUGCAAUAAAUCAACCCAGAUUUUGUUGAUAUACAAAGCAAAUUUUGCUGUUUACAAACUGGAUCAAUUCAUUAAGUAACGGACAUGGGCGCACAAUAAAUGAAAUUAAAAAAAGAAUAAUAAUACAGCCACAAACUCUUGUACAAAUUUAUUUUGUACAAACUGACGUAGUAUUAAUUCAUUAGUUGAAUGAAAAUAUAAAUUAAUAAAAAAAAAUCAUAUGGGCCAAGUGAUAUUUAAUUCAACCAAUCUUAUCAUGACACAUUAAUUUAUACAAAAUAAAUUUAUACAAGAAUUUGUGUUUGUAUCAUUACCCUUACAAAAAAUGGGGUAGUUGGCUAGCCAUAAAAUGAAAAAAAAAAGUACCAGAUUAUCAGCUUAAUGGAUCACUAUGAUCAUUAUUGGGCUCAAUGCAGGCCCAACUAAUUUUCCUUUGUCUCCCAUACUGGGCCAGUAUGAACCACUUUUCACACAAAUAUAGAAACUGUAGAAGCCCAUAGAAGAACAGGAAAAGGGUUACAAAAUCUCCUUAUAAGUAAUUCUAAUUCGGAGAGAAUUUGGGAUCAUCUAUGAAUUUGUGCAUAUAUUUGUGGUUCACAAUCACAUUUUAUAAAUUUAACAAUUUAUAAAUAUAACAAGUUGAUUAGGUGGAUAGAAUUAAGAAAAUACCACUGUCAUGGUUUACAAUUUAAUUUCAUAAUAAAAGACAAGACAUAAUUAUAAUAAGGCACCGAUAGUAUGUUAUAUUGUUUUCUGAAGAUCUUAAUAUGAGCAUUGAAAUUUUAAGACAGCCCAAAGUAUUUGGAGCAAAUAUAAGGGACUCUCGAUGAAGAGUCAUGGCUGCAACAACUUGGAGAUAUCAUUUUCCAACGAUGUUGAAUUUGUUGAAGCACUUACUAUCUAUGAAGGUUUAAAGAAGAUGGCCAAAUUUUGAUGGGAUCUUUAUCCUUUAAUUAUUGAAUUAGAUUCACAAAAUGUGAUUAGACUGAUUACUAACAAGCUUGCAAGCUGGAGUAAGUUUGGAUGGCUAGUUGAAGAGAUUCAAGAUCCAACUAGGGUUGUUGCUAACUAACGUUGUCUUUAAGCUUGUCUCUAUAGUUGGUAAUCUAGUGGCUCUAAAUACUGGACAAAUGAACUAUAAUGAAUACAAAAGUAACUUUGGCAAUACAGAGAAUGAAGUUGCUCAAGAAGCUAUCACCAUCAACUUCAAUAUCAUUCACGAGAUGUUAUCAAAUUUUGUUGCAUACGUAAUUAAUUGCUCAGCAUAUAAAACAGGAAGCUGUUUACUGAAUUAUAUUGCCUACGUGUACAAUCAUAUAACGAGAAAAUAUAUAUAUAUAUAUAUAUAUAUAUGUAAGUAGGUAACGGUUCCAAUAGAACUAUCUAAUCGAUAUUUGUAAUGAAUCUUGGUGCGUUCAUCUUAAUAUUUUCGCUUACUAUAAUUCGAGUAACGUUAUUAGAUUAUUUUAUUGAUAGAUAAGAGAUUACAUAUUUAGGUACUGUGGAAUUAACUGGGGAAGAAGGAGAUUAUCUUGAAUUUACGAGUAGAGAUUGAUUUAAGAGGAUUGAUCUAAUGCCUCUAGUCGGGUGGGUUUAUACACCUGAUUGUAAAUAUUAUUUUACGAUUGCAUACUCUUUGGUUUCUCUUAAAGAGGCUUUCACGAAUUAGAGUGCUUUCUGAAACAGACAACACAAAAAUCCAAAAACGAACACACGUCGACUCAAGCACAGACGUGUGCCAUGACGAUAUCAGGAAGCCUUCCUCUUCCUCUAUCUCUCUCCCCCAUCAUAAUUCCGCAUUCACAUAUUUACGUAUAAAGGAAUCAGCAAGCCAGUGCAUUGUCAUAAACGUUUUGAGUAGAACUCAUCCAUUUUCGUAAAAGUUUUAUAAAACAAAGAUCAUUUUCGAGCAUCCAUUUGAGUUUUCAUUCAAGAAAUUAACAAAGGGAGAAUUUUUUUUUUCGAGUUUCAUGCGAUUUCUGGUGACUGGUUAGUUUUUAAAGUUCGUUGUAUAAUGGAAAAGAUCUUUGAUGUGGUGCUGUUGUUUAAUUUGCUUCGAAUGCUUCCUCUGUUUUGUUUUUUCAUUUAAAAUCAUGUACAAGUGGAUGUUGCUGAAAAUUUUUUAAUGUAUUAAUAUUGCAUUAUUAGUUUCGUCCUGGGAUUGAUUAAUGGAGGCUUUUUUUUUUGGGUUGAAUUUGUUUGAAAAUUUUACAGGAACAUGUCCACGUGAGCUCCCUUCAGAGUUCACGUGAUUACUUGUUCAGAGAAAGGGAAGGAGAACGGUCUUCGCUUGAUCACAUUUGAGGUACCAUCAACUUUUGAUUAUCUUUUUGUAUAUGCAAGUACUUCAACUUCGCUUCACUUGCAAUAUAUGCCACUAGCGAUGCUAUGCUCCAUGAAAGUUCUCUUGCAUUCCCUUGCCUUGCUUUUGUAAUUUCACUUCUCAUAAUAAGGAAGAAGUUUUUGUUUUUUUAUCACUGACUUGCAUUCACAACUUUGUUUUUUAUUUUUUAUUUUUGGGGACUUGGACCAACCGGUAUCAUCCCUGGAGGUUUUACAGUUGAGCUAACCAGCAUCACUUGCUACUUUUUUGGUUCUCUAUUUUUGAAUUUAAUGCUCAAGGAAAUUUCAUGAUAAUUUGUUUUAGUUGGAUUCUUGGAAUUUUAAUAAAUAUAUAGUAUAUUUAUUUGGGCUUGUAAAUGAGUAUGGGUUGGUGUGCAGUACAGGGCUCGAAGAGCAAGUGAAAGUGAUAAAGCAAGAUGGGGGAUUUAUGGAGAAUGUUUUGUGGGGAGUCUGGGUGUUCAGACAUUGGUGGAAAGCCAUGCCAUAAUGCUUUUUUGCUCUUGAGUGAUCCAAAUUCAUGCAUCAAUCAUGCGUUGAUCAUUUGCUUUGAUAUUUUGCUUUUAGCCAUGCUCUUAUUCAAUAUGAUCCAGAAAUCAUCAUCGAAGUCACUUUACAUUCCUGUACGUUUACAACGGUUUACAACGUUGCAGAAAGUGGCUGCAGUUGUUAAUGGCUGUCUUGGAAUAGUGUAUUUGUGCUUGGCCACUUGGAUUUUAGAAGAGAAGCUGAGGAAAACUCACACUGCUUUGCCAUUGAAUUGGUGGUUAUUAGUAUUGUUUCAAGGUGCCACAUGGUGGCUUGUGACUUUAAUCGUAAGCCUUAGGGGAAAUCAUCUACCAAGAGCACCAAUGCGGCUAUUGUCCGUUCUUAGCUUCUUAUUUGCUGGAAUUGUCUGUGUCCUAUCCAUCUUUGCAGCCAUUUUAAGCAAAGAUGUAACCAUCAAGACAGCCUUGGAUGUUCUUUCUUUCCCUGGAGCAAUAUUGUUGCUUUUAUGUGCUUAUAAGGUGUUUAAGCAUGAAGAAACUGAUGUGAAAAUUGGUGAAAAUGGCCUAUAUGCCCCUUUGAAUGGGGAAGCCAAUGGUUUAGGUAAAGGUGAUUCUGUUAGUCAAAUUACUGGAUUUGCCGCUGCUGGUUUCUUCAUUAGAUUGACAUUUUGGUGGUUGAAUCCAUUGAUGAAAAGGGGUAGAGAGAAGACUCUAGGGGAUGAAGAUAUUCCGGAUUUGCGCAAGGCAGAGCAAGCAGAAAGCUGCUACUUUCAAUUCCUGGAUCAGUUAAACAAACAAAAACAAGCAGAACCAUCAUCUCAACCAUCGAUAUUGAGGACAAUACUAAUAUGCCACUGGAGAGAUAUUUUCAUGUCUGGUUUCUUUGCGUUGAUAAAGGUUCUUACUCUAUCUGCGGGCCCUCUAUUCCUUAAUGCCUUCAUUUUGGUUGCUGAGAGUAAAGCAGGUUUCAAAUAUGAAGGUUAUUUAUUGGCCAUAACACUUUUCUUAGCAAAGAUCCUAGAAUCCUUAUCGCAAAGGCAGCGGUAUUUCCGAAGCAGGCUUAUCGGACUGAAAGUGAGGUCUUUGCUCACAGCAGCAAUUUACAGGAAGCAACUCCGAUUGUCCAACGCUGCUAGGUUGAUGCACUCAGGGGGUGAGAUAAUGAAUUAUGUUACAGUGGAUGCUUACAGGAUUGGAGAAUUCCCUUUCUGGUUCCACCAAAUUUGGACAACAAGUGUCCAGCUUUGUAUUGCCCUGAUAAUUUUGUUUCAUGCAGUGGGAUUGGCAACAAUUGCAGCCCUGGUGGUUAUAACUAUCACUGUUCUAUGUAAUACUCCACUUGCGAAAUUGCAACAUAAGUUUCAAACUAAGCUGAUGGUCGCACAAGAUGAGAGACUUAAGGCUUGUAGCGAGGCAUUUGUGAACAUGAAGGUGUUGAAACUUUACGCCUGGGAAACUCAUUUCAAGAAUGCCAUUGAAAUUUUGAGGAAUGUGGAGUACAAAUGGUUAUCAGCCGUUCAGUUGCGAAAAGCAUAUAAUGGCUUUCUCUUCUGGUCUUCACCUGUUUUGGUUUCUACCGCUACUUUUGGGGCAUGCUAUUUCCUCAACGUUCCCCUAUAUGCUAGUAAUGUUUUUACUUUUGUAGCAACAUUACGUCUAGUUCAGGACCCUAUAAGAAUUAUCCCUGAUGUGAUCGGAGUUUUCAUUCAAAUGUUGCAUUUUCACGUAUUGUAAAUUUCCUUGAGGCAGCAGAGCUGCAAAGUAUGAAUAUCAGGCAAAAGGGGAACAUAGAGAAUGUAAACCGUGCCAUUUCCAUUAAAUCUGCCAGUUUUUCAUGGGAAGAGAGCUCUUCAAAGCCCACUAUGAGGAAUAUAAGUUUAGAGGUUAGACCUGGCCAAAAGGUAGCCAUAUGCGGAGAAGUUGGUUCUGGCAAAUCAACCCUUUUAGCUGCAAUUCUUGGAGAAGUACCACAUACACAGGGAACUGUAAGUUGUUCCUGUUUGUUCUCUUUCUUUUUCAUAUUUGUGAAAUGCAUGCAAAAAGUUGUGUCCUCGUAUGUUGUUCUGCGGAUUCUACGUCUAUGACAAGUCCUGAAAUUUAUUAACAAUUUAUACUGAUAUAAGUUCUGGUCUGUUUUCUUCUAAUUCAUAGAUUCAAGUGUAUGGGAAGACUGCCUAUGUUUCUCAAACAGCAUGGAUCCAGACUGGAAGCAUACAGGAGAAUAUUUUAUUUGGGUCUCCUAUGGAUAGCCAUCGAUACCAGGAAACACUUGAGAGGUGUUCGUUGAUAAAGGACCUUGAGUUGCUUCCCUACGGUGAUAACACCGAAAUAGGUGAAAGAGGUGUUAAUUUGAGUGGUGGUCAGAAGCAGCGAAUUCAACUUGCUCGUGCUCUCUAUCAGGAUGCUGAUAUAUAUCUAUUGGACGAUCCGUUUAGUGCUGUGGAUGCUCAUACUGCUUCAAGUUUAUUUAAUGUAACUACUUAUCUUAACACCACAUUCUCUUUUGUUAACUAGGUUUUAGUGAAAGCUAACUUAAAACUCUGCAGGAUUAUGUUAUGGAAGCACUGUCAGGGAAGGUGGUCUUACUUGUCACACAUCAAGUUGAUUUUCUUCCUGCAUUUGAUUCUGUUUUGGUUAGUCUAUUCUCAACCUCCAGCUUUUUCAUUAUUUUCUAAUAAUUUCUUUGAUCCUGUUUAUUUGUAUUAUGUAUCUAUAAUCACUUGAGAUUGGUUUGUCUCUUGGGUUUUGUUUCUUGUUGCCACAUCUUUCUGUCCGAUGAACGUCCUGUGUUAUUGGUUUUGUUCUUCUGUUUUAUUGUUUCCAUGAGAUAGAUUAGUUUGGCAAUGAAACCUGCACCAAGAUUAUUACAUGGCUUUGUUGAUGUACUAUUAUUACAAAGAAGUGAUUUCAAUCAGUGUGGAUCAUCAUAGCUCAUUCCUAAAGACUAAAUCUUGGACCACUGUGAUAUUACCUUUUUUUUUGGCAGCAACACUGUUUAAUACUUAUUUCUGUGAAUUAUAGGCUUUUUCAUUUUUUGCAUAUAUUUUAGAUUGAUCUAAAUUUGCCAAACAUUUUGUAUAAUGCUUGUUAAUUAGUUUUAAAUUCUGAAACUUAUCAACACUUAUUCUUUGGUUUCAAAUCCAAGUAGCCUAAGAAAGAGUAUAGUUUUCAAGAUUUUGUUUUCUUAAUACGCACCUAAUUCACACAUCAGAAUGAACAAUCUGGUGAAACCAGCCGUAUAAAAUUAUCCUCAUUAGCCUUGCCCUGGUAGACAUGCAUAAUUAUAGUUAAAACUGAGAGUUCUGUUCCUUGUUACUUUUGUUAUUUAAACUAUGUAAUAGUUAUUUGCAUCUUAAUCUUGAAUCUUUUGGCAGUUAAUGUCAGAUGGGGAAAUCCUGCGGGCAGCUCCUUAUCAUCAAUUAUUGGCCUCAAGCAAAGAAUUUCAGGAACUUGUCAACGCGCACAAAGAAACCGCUGGUUCUGAGAGACUUGCUGAGGUCACUCCUUCCCAGAAAAGUGGAAUGCCUGCUAAGGAGAUCAAGAAGGGUCAUGUAGAGAAACAAUUUGAAGUAUCCAAAGGUGAUCAGCUGAUUAAACAAGAAGAAAGAGAAACAGGGGACAUAGGGUUAAAGCCAUACAUACAAUAUCUGAAUCAGAACAAAGGCUUUUUGUUCUUUUCCAUAGCCAGCCUCUCUCACCUUACAUUUGUGAUUGGUCAGAUAUUGCAGAACUCUUGGCUGGCUGCCAAUGUAGAAAAUCCUAAUGUCAGCACAUUACGGCUGAUAGUGGUUUACUUGUUGAUUGGAUUUGUCUCAACACUAUUCCUGAUGUCUAGAUCUCUCUCUAGUGUUGUUUUAGGUAUUAGAUCAUCAAAAUCUUUGUUCUCACAGCUUUUAAAUUCCCUUUUCCGUGCACCUAUGUCUUUUUACGACUCCACACCUCUUGGAAGGGUACUUAGUCGGGUAUGCAUCUUCAUCGUAAACUGUUUGUUUCUCUGAAAGGGAUUGAUAAAACUGAUAUUUCUGCUUCUUAUUAUCAAAAUUUUGUCCUGAUACAGGUUUCUUCUGAUCUGAGUAUUGUCGACCUAGAUAUUCCAUUCAGUUUAAUCUUUGCUGUCGGGGCUACCACAAAUGCUUGUAGUAAUCUAGGAGUACUUGCUGUUGUCACAUGGCAAGUCCUAUUCGUUUCCAUACCAGUGAUUUUCUUGGCAAUUCGCUUGCAGGUAAUAUUAUGCAAAGUUUCUGUUUUCAUGGGUAAGAGGCAGUUUUCCUUCAUCUUCCAUGGAAAAAACUACCAUUUUAGCCAUGUGAUGUGAAUAUUGUUGCAUGAAUACAUGAAUUACCAAAACUACACCUUGUGCAUAUUUUGGAAUUUGAAGCAGGGAUGGGAGGGUGUUGAACUAACGAGUAAAUUUUAUAUUUGCUUUUGUUUCUUCGCAGAGAUACUAUUUUGUUACUGCAAAAGAAUUGAUGCGGCUUAACGGCACAACCAAGUCCUUGGUAGCAAAUCAUCUAGCUGAGUCUAUAGCAGGAGCCAUGACAAUUAGGGCUUUUGAGGAGGAAGAUCGGUUUUUUGCAAAGAACCUUGACCUCAUUGAUACCAAUGCCAGUCCUUUCUUCCAUAGUUUUGCAGCAAAUGAGUGGUUGAUCCAACGCCUAGAAACACUCAGUGCAACUGUUAUAUCCUCGGCAGCAUUCUGCAUGGUUUUGCUUCCUCCUGGAACUUUUACCCCUGGUGAGUAAAUUAAUUUCAUUGGAGACUCAUUGCUACUUCAGGAAAUUCUUAGGAAUAUGCAUUAGAACUUCGAAUUAAUUUUUUAAUAUACUUAACUCUUCUUAUGUAGGAUACAGUAAUAAUAAUUACUUGUGUUAUUUUCAGGAUUUAUUGGAAUGGCCCUUUCUUAUGGUCUUUCUUUAAACAGUUCCCUAGUAAUGUCAAUCCAAAACCAGUGUACUCUAGCAAAUUAUAUCAUAUCUGUAGAAAGACUUAACCAAUACAUGCAUGUACCAAGUGAAGCCCCUGAAGUAGUAGAAGACAACCGCCCCCCACCCAACUGGCCGGUUGUUGGUAAAGUGGAUAUCUGUGAUUUGCAGGUAUUUUGUUUAUUUUAAUUUAUUUAUUUUACUAUUAUUCUGAUCUACGAUGGUUACCAUGCUGAGAGCAAUGAUUCGCAAACAGAUCAGGUAUAGGCCCGAUUCACCACUCGUCCUUAAGGGUAUCAGUUGCACAUUUGAAGGAGGGCACAAAAUUGGUAUUGUUGGUCGAACUGGCAGUGGGAAGACUACUCUCAGAGGUGCUUUAUUUCGUCUGAUCGAGCCAGCCCGAGGGAAAAUUUUAGUAGAUGGUAUUGACAUUUCUAAGCUUGGACUUCACGAUCUUAGGUCGCGUUUUGGAAUAAUUCCUCAGGAUCCUACACUUUUCAAUGGGACCGUGAGAUAUAAUUUGGAUCCCUUGUCGCAACAUACAGACCAGGAAAUAUGGGAGGUAAAUUUCAAUUGAUUUUUUCCAUGCGGUUGCUGGCUGGUUGGGAGAUUCUUUUAUCUGGUAAUAGUUUCUCUGUUUGCCAUUGCAUUUUUAUUUUUUGCUCUACAAUUGUUUAGGUUCUUGCAAAGUGUCAUCUUGGAGAGGCUGUCCGCGAGAAAGAAAAUGGCCUAGACUCCUUAGGUGAGUAUUCUAACAAUAUGUAGAUUUUGGGAAUUUAUUUUCCUUAUUGGUAUUAACUGAAGUCCGGUUUUUCCAGUUGUGGAAGACGGAUCAAACUGGAGCAUGGGGCAAAGGCAACUGUUCUGUUUGGGCCGUGCUCUUUUGAGGAGAAGCCGCAUAUUGGUGCUUGACGAAGCAACUGCAUCAAUUGAUAAUGCAACUGACAUGAUUCUGCAGAAAACUAUUCGUGCAGAAUUUGCUGAUUGCACUGUUAUCACGGUAGCUCACAGGAUUCCAACUGCUGUACCGUACAUCCGCCUUGGCCGUACAGCAGCCUUGUUUAUAAAUUUUUAGCUUUUUUAUUAGUAUUCGAUCAUGUAAUUGAAAGCCUUGCGUUUUUUUUUUUUGGCCGAUGACUUGAAAUGAAUUGAUGUGACUUAUAAUAUUUGUCAUAUUGAAUUCGAAAUGUUUCCAUUAACGAGAACUUAAGCUUUUGGACUAGGAGACUUUUGAUUAGAUGCUCAAAAAUUGUUUGAAUUUCAAAGAUUUUUCCAAAGUUUUUUUUUUAUAGGUUGAGAUUUCUGCAUCACGGCAUUCGUUAAGAGCAAUGAUUUUUAUUUUUAAUUUUUCCCUUGGGUGUUCUGUUAUAUAUGAACUAUGAACAUGGGAAUAGUUUGAUAUUUGCAUUUGAAUGAGUUUGUAGUGUAGUGAAUAUUGGUUGGCUUUCCUUUGAUAUUCUAAUUUUGCAGCCUACAUUGUCACCACAAGUAGGAGAUAUUCCGCGGAGCAAUUUUCAUUUUGACUUUGAUUUUGAGAGAAGGGUUUUGGCUGAAGCAGAGAAAGAAAACCAAAACUGGAGCAGGCUCGGGAUGGAAAAUAUUCCUUCUAAAAAUGAACCAACUUCUUCGGUGGUAUGUUUCCUUUUGUUUAGGAGUUUUUUUUGCUGUUGAAGCUUGCAACAUUCAUGCAUAUAUAAUGUGGUGGGAGAGGUGCUUUAUUUCGUCUGAUCGAGCCAGCCCGAGGGAAAAUUUUAGUAGAUGGUAUUGACAUUUCUAAGCUUGGACUUCACGAUCUUAGGUCGCGUUUUGGAAUAAUUCCUCAGGAUCCUACACUUUUCAAUGGGACCGUGAGAUAUAAUUUGGAUCCCUUGUCGCAACAUACAGACCAGGAAAUAUGGGAGGUAAAUUUCAAUUGAUUUUUUCCAUGCGGUUGCUGGCUGGUUGGGAGAUUCUUUUAUCUGGUAAUAGUUUCUCUGUUUGCCAUUGCAUUUUUAUUUUUUGCUCUACAAUUGUUUAGGUUCUUGCAAAGUGUCAUCUUGGAGAGGCUGUCCGCGAGAAAGAAAAUGGCCUAGACUCCUUAGGUGAGUAUUCUAACAAUAUGUAGAUUUUGGGAAUUUAUUUUCCUUAUUGGUAUUAACUGAAGUCCGGUUUUUCCAGUUGUGGAAGACGGAUCAAACUGGAGCAUGGGGCAAAGGCAACUGUUCUGUUUGGGCCGUGCUCUUUUGAGGAGAAGCCGCAUAUUGGUGCUUGACGAAGCAACUGCAUCAAUUGAUAAUGCAACUGACAUGAUUCUGCAGAAAACUAUUCGUGCAGAAUUUGCUGAUUGCACUGUUAUCACGGUAGCUCACAGGAUUCCAACGGUGAUGGAUUGCACUAUGGUACUUGCCAUUAGUGAUGGUGAGUUUCAUUAGUUAUUAGCUUCAUUGAAAAUCUAUAACUCUCUCUCUCCCUCUCUCACACACACACACACGUGUGUGUGUUUGUGUGUAUUAACAAUAACUCAUUUAUGGAUUCCUGGGUGCCUCUGCAUAUUUUCUCAUUCUAACGAGUUCAUUUCACUAAUUCCAUCUCUAUGUUCUUCAAUUAACUAAAAGAAGUGGGUAAUCUGCUAUGUUCAGGUAAACUAGCGGAGUAUGAUGAGCCAAUGGAGUUAAUGAAGAGGGAAGGUUCACUCUUCGGGCAGCUAGUAAAGGAAUACUGGUCUCAUUUGCACUCUGCAGAAUCACAUUGAGGCUACCGAUUAUUUCUUUUGUAGUUCUUUAAUUUUCUAUUUCUUUAAUAGCAAAGAGAAAUUAAAAGUGAAAGUAGUGUUAGGAAAUUGAUGGGUGAAGUAGGGCCACAACUAAAAUGAAAUUGGAAGAAAAAUAAAGAAUAAACACACAACAGGACACCGUAGUUUAUGUGGUUCGAUCUUUAGCCUACGUCCACAUGUAAAAAUAAAAAAGAUAAUUUUUUUACUAUAUAGGAAGAAUUAUAAAUAUUUUGAGAUAAAUUCCUCACUACCCAAAACCCAUUUUAUUACAUCCACACUCUCAUAUAUAAAUAUUGAAAACAAAUGCUUAUAAAGAGAAACUUAUUUUUUUCUCUUUUAUAAGCUCUCGGAUGCAUUCAAAAUGAGAUGCAAAACUCAUUUGCAUGGCUUCCCUUUUAAAGCCAAUUGUUGGCUAACAAAUUACACAAGUUAGGUUUGGUAGCCACCUAACUUGUGGGAGAAUUGUUGAAAAUCAUCAAAUCUCCAAGUGGGAGAAUUGUUGAAAAUUAGUACAAGACUUCUAGAAAUUGUUGAAAAUCAGUGCAAGACUUUUAGAAAUUUGGUGCUGUCAUUGACAUUUUGAUUUAGUAAUUGCCGACCAUGGACAAAAUGAAAUGGAGGUGGAUGAGUUAGGUGGUUGCCAAACCUAACUUGUGGAAUUUGUUAGCCAACAAUUGGCUAUAAAAUGGGAGCCAUGCAAAUGAGUUUUGCAUCCCAUUUUGAGUGCAUCCGAGAGCUUAUAAAAGAGAGAAAAAUAAGUUUCUCUUUGUAAGCAUUUGUUUUCAAUAUUUAUAUAUGAGAGUGUGGGUGUAACAAAUUGUGUUUUGAAUAGUGAGAAAUUUAUCUCAAAAUACUUGUAAUUCUUCCUAUAUAGUGAAAAUUUUAUCUUUUUAUCUUUACCUGUGAACUUAGGCUAAAAAGUCAAACCACAUAAACUACGGUGUCCUCUUGUGUGCUUAUUCUUCAUUUUUCUUCCAAUUUCAUGUUAGUUGUGGUCCUGCUUUACCCAUCAAAUUCUUAAUAGUGGUAUCAAAGCAACUGGUUAUAUUUUUUGGAGUCUGUGGUACUUUUCACGUAAAAAUACUAUUCACGUAUACAGUACUGUUCCCGUAUACGGUUACUGUUCACGUGAAACGGUGGGAGCUGAUCCUAGCAAAGUUAAUUUGUGGUGAAAAGCGAUGGCGGGAAAAUACGAAAUUGAGAAGUUCAACGGAAAUAAUUUUUCGUUGUGGAAAAUGAAGAUAAAAGUUGUAUUGAGGAAAAAUAAUUGCUUGACAGCAAUUAGAGAAAGACCCAUAGAGAUAAUUGAUGACAAAUAGAACGAGAUAGACGGCAACACCAUUUUUUAUCUACACUUGGCACUUGCAGAUAGAGUAUUAUCUAAUGUGACAGAGAAAAAGAUAGCUAAGAAAGUAUGAGAUACUCUUACAAAAUUGUAAGAGGCCAAAACGCUGCACAACAAGAUCUUCUUAAAAAGAAAACUCUAUACCCUUCGAAUGGUGGAAUCUACAUUAGUAACUAACUUAGGGAUGGCAAAUUUUUCCGGACCCGGAUAAACCCGGACGAUCCGGUCCGGGUUAAACCCGCCCCGGGUGCAUAAAAAUGAGGAUUCGGGUAGCAUUUUUUCAAACCCAGAUACAUGCGGGUCCGGUUGCGGGUUCAACCGAACAUCGCCACCUUUAUUUUCCUCUUCCUCAACAUCAAUUCAAUUCAUCAUCAUCCACCCAUCGUCAAUUCAUUAUCAACAAUAAUAACAAUCAAUAUCAUCCUCAACAUCAAUUUAAAUCAUUGUCAAUUCAUCAUCGAUCAUCAUCAAAAGCAACAAACAAUCUUUGGCACCAUCAAAUUCAACCUUAUCUCUCAUCUCUCAUCAAAUUCGAUCUCAUUUCUCUCUUGUUCUUGGAUACUGGAUCUCAAACCUUGCUCGCUACUCUCAUGGCUGCCACCUCCUCAAUUCGCUGGUGCCUCAACCGACACCUUAAAGAAACUGCUAAUCUACUCUUGUUGGCGCUCGAUCUCAUCUCUCUCUUGUUCGUGGAUGCUGGAUCUCAAACCUUGCUCACUGCUUUCAUGGCUACUGCCUCCUGGACUCGCCGGUGUCUCAACCAACACCUCAAAUAAACCGCUAAUCCACUGUUGUACAGAGUCAAAAGGGGCAUGCACAAAGGCUUUAUUGUUCCAGCCUCCAAGUUUCCGGGUUCAAAACCCGCAAUCCGGAAACCCGAAUUUUUCCGGGUUGAAUCCGUACCGGACCCGGAGAAAGAAAAUGCGGGUUUAUAUCCGGAUCCAGGAAGGAGAAUUGGCAUCCGGGUCCGGAACCGGAAAGGCCAGACCCGGACCCGGUUUUUGCCAUCCUUAAACUGACUACGUCAACACCUUGAAAACUAUAUUUUCACAACUCACAACGUUGGGUCAUAAUAUAGAGGAAAAUGAACGUGCGAAACUUCUACUUCAAAGUCUACUAGAUUCAUAUGAUUAACUCAUCAUCAACCUGACGAACAACAAUUCAAUGGACAGUCUAAUUUUCGACGAUGUUGCAACCUUCGUAUUAAAUGAGGAAAGUAGGCGAAAAAACAAGGAAGACAUACUGGUGAGUUCGCAGCAGGCAGAAGCGUUAUCAGUGACGAGAGGGAGAUCAACGGAACGUGGCCCCAAUGGGAGUCACAAUCAUGGUAGAUCAAAAUCCAAAAGUAAGAAAAAUGUUAAAUGCUACAACUGUGGCAAGAAAGGGCACGUCAAGAAAGAGUGUUGGAACAGCCAGAUGAGAUGAGAGGGCAAAGAACCUGAGUCAUCAAAUGCUCAGAGGUGUGUAGCAAGUACCUCGGAUGAUGGCGAAAUCUGCUGUACCGUACAUCCGCCUUGGCCGUACAGCAGCCAUGCAAAUGAGUUUUGCAUCCCAUUUUGAGUGCAUCCGAGAGCUUAUAAAAGAGAGAAAAAUAAGUUUCUCUUUGUAAGCAUUUGUUUUCAAUAUUUAUAUAUGAGAGUGUGGGUGUAACAAAUUGUGUUUUGAAUAGUGAGAAAUUUAUCUCAAAAUACUUGUAAUUCUUCCUAUAUAGUGAAAAUUUUAUCUUUUUAUCUUUACCUGUGAACUUAGGCUAAAAAGUCAAACCACAUAAACUACGGUGUCCUCUUGUGUGCUUAUUCUUCAUUUUUCUUCCAAUUUCAUGUUAGUUGUGGUCCUGCUUUACCCAUCAAAUUCUUAAUAGUGGUAUCAAAGCAACUGGUUAUAUUUUUUGGAGUCUGUGGUACUUUUCACGUAAAAAUACUAUUCACGUAUACAGUACUGUUCCCGUAUACGGUUACUGUUCACGUGAAACGGUGGGAGCUAGUAAAGUACUUGGUGACUUUUAUUAAUGAUUAUUCUGGGAAACAUUGAGUGUAUCCAAUCAAGAAAAAGUCAGAUGUGUUUCCAGUAUUCAAACAAUACAAAACACGGGUAGAACUUGAAUCCAGGAAAAGAUCAAGUGGUUGAGGACAAAUAAUAGUGGAGAGUAUACAGACGACGAGUUUCUUGCUUUCUGUAAGCAAGAAAUUAUUCAGAGGCAGUUCACGGUGGCAUACACUCCCCAACAAAAUGGAGUGACAAAGAGGGUGAACAAGACUCUUACAAAAAGGAUAAUUUUUUCACUAUACAGGGAGAAUUACAAGUAUUUUGAGAUAAAUUCAUCACUACUCAAGACCCAAUUUAUUACACACACUCUCAUAUAUAAAUAUUGAAAACAAAUUAUUAUAAAGAGAAACUUAUUUUCUCUCUUUUAUAAGCUCUCGGAUGUACUCAAAAUGGGAUGCAAAACUCAUUUGCAUGGCUCCCUUUUUAUAGCCAAUUGUUAGCUAACAAAUUCCACAAGUUAGGUUUGGCAGCCACCUAACUCAUCCACCUCCAUUUCAUUUUGUCAAUAGUCAGCAAUUACCAAAUCAAAAUGUCAAUGACGGCACCAAAUUUCUAAAAGUCUUGUACUGAUUUUCAACAAUUUCUAGAAGCCUUGUACUGAUUUUCAACAAGUAGAUGUGUAGUAUCCCUUUAGCAUAGCCCGGCUAGAGAGAACAAAAAAAGAAGAGGAAUGUUUUUUCCUUCAUUAGGUUGAGUUAGCUGAACCUGAGGAUCUAACCAGUAGACUAUUAAAUACAUCAUGCUAGAGCAAUUCUUUACAAAUUCAGACAUAUUAUGCACCAAUGCUUGUUGCAUCAGUCUGAAAAUGCCCAUGAAGUAUGAGAUUGUUAGGUAAUUCUCUUGAAUGACAGUAAAAUUAUCCAUUAAUAUUCCUUAACACACUUCCUACAAAACUAACAAAAGCAUCUAAUUAGUGUUUCCACAGAGCUUGCUUACCAAUCUGGUAAACAACUUGACACCUCCAUUGCAAGCAUUUUAGCAACAGCAACGAGUACUCACUUGUCUGCCCUACCUUUGGCGCCAUAUAACUUUAUGUCUAAAAAUUUUAACAGUUUGAUGUAAUAUUUGUCAACAUUAACAUAUAUUAAAUGAGUUUGAAUGUGAUAUAAAACUUCUCUUCCCUAAAGAAAAGUUACACCUUUUAACUAUAUCAAAUGAGCAUAUUUUGCAGCAUGGUGCUGUGCUGGUAAUCCUUAGGGUUCCCUUUAAAAACUAACUUCUACCUUAACAUAAUAGCCUUAAAUUCCCGUAACUAUACAACAAAUCUUUUAUUUAUGUUAAUGUCCUGUGAUUAAUCCUGUUCAGCAUCUGGAACUCUAAAUACUGGACAAAUGAACUAUAAUGAAUACAACAAUGCCGUUUAUGCACCAAAAAAAAAAAAAAACACCUGGACAAAGCCAAUCUUGCACAUAGGAAAAAAGGAGGCAAGGAAUAGAAAGAAAGAAAUAGUUUACCAGUUCCCAUCCAUGCUUUACUGAAUUGCAUUAUGGGAAUGUUCAACAGGGAUUAUAUUUUCCUGCAUGCUAUGAUUUCCAGAGUAUCAUCCACUGAUAUAGCAGAUUUGCCCUAAACAUCAAUCAACCACUUAAUAGUCAUAUACAAUAUACACCAAAUAACUAGUGAAAUUCAAAUUUGUGAUUAACCGCAUUUAGACAGGUAACUUUCUAAACCAAAAUCACCCAGACAAUAAUUUAAAAAGCAAAAAAAAAAAAUCACAUGACCAGUGAUUCUAUCCGGCUCUUUAAUCAAACGAACUCUGGUCUGAGCAUCCUGCCACAAUCUAUCACCAGCCCAGAUAAAAAAAAAUCACAUUUUUACCAAAUUGAACGUUAAAAAAUUCAUUUUUUUACCAAAAAAAAAAAUCACGUAGCAGUGAAUCAAACACAAUUGUCAAUAUACAAAAUCUAAGAACACUAACCUGCCAGGUACGUAAACAUUGAAAGCAACAUAGAUGAUAUCCUGGUCCUAGUAAUCAUACUGGAUAGCUUGUUACUCGAUCCCCCGCUUUGCAUUUUUUUUCCUUUUUAUCUCUCUUUAAAUCUUGUGCCCUUUUCUUUCUCUUUUCCGUAUCGAUGGAUCAAAAAAGAGUUGAUUUAACCUUUUCGGCCGAUCUUCUAAGUAGGUUUCUUGCAGAGAUUUUGUAAAUGAGAUCUAUUGUUUGAUUUGAUGGAGGUUUUAUGUUGGAUUUUGAUAACUGAUAAAAAGUGAGAGCUUUGUUGUGUUGUGUUCGGAGGAGAGUUAGUUUUUUGUGGUCACUCGGUUCCAAUGC